AUGGCUCUGGAAUGGCUCUCCGGCUGCUCCCGGGGUUUUUCCAUGGAUUUCUGGGAUUGCAGAGUUUGCCCAGGCUGAGGCGGCCGAGGUGGACAGCGGAGCUGCCAUGGACACGUCUGAGCCCACCAAGGUCAGAAUUCCCGCAAUUCCCGGAUCCUUCCGGCACCUCCCGACAUUCCCGACAUUCCCAUCCCGUCGUUCCCAUCGUUCCCAUCCCAUCAUUCCCAUCAUUUCCAUCAUUCCCAUCUCUUCAAUCCCAUCAAUCCCAUCAAUCCCAUCAUUCCCAUCAAUCCCAUCCCAUCAUUCCCAUCAUUCCCAUCCUGUCAUUCCCAUCAUUCCAAUCAUUCCCAUCAAUCCCAGUAAUCCCAUAAAUCCCAUCCCAUAAAUCCCAUCAUUCCCAUCUCUUCAAUCCCAUAAAUCCCAUCCCACCAUUCCCAUCAUUCCCAUCAAUCCCAUCAAUCCCAUCAAUCCCAUCAUUCCCACCAAUCCCAUCCCACCAUUCCCAUCAUUCCCAUCAUUCCCAUCCUGUCAUUCCCAUCAAUCCCAUAAAUCCCAGUAAUCCCAUAAAUCCCAUCCCAUAAAUCCCAUCCCAUCAUUCCCAUCUCUUCAAUCCCAUCAAUCCCAUCAUUCCCAUCCCAUCAUUCCCAUCAUUCCCAUCCCAUUCCCACCAUUCCCAGGACGGGAUCGAGCUCCUCCUCCAGCCCCGUCCAUCCCAAACCCCUCCCAGAUUCCCUGUUCUGGCUCCCGUGGGAUUUUUGGGAUCCCAAAUUCCCCUGGGAAUGAUCCCAAAUCCCCAGGAAUGAUCCCAAAUCCCUGGGAAUGAUCCCAAAUCCCCGGGAACGAUCCCAAUUCCCCGGGAACGAUCCCAAUUCCCCGGGAACGACCCCAAAUCCCCAGGAACGACCCCAAAUCCCCGGGAAUGACCCCAAAUCCCCAGGAACGACCCCAAAUUCCCGGGAACGAUCCCAAAUCCCCGGGGACGAUCCCAAAUCCCUGGGAACGAUCCCAAAUCCCCGGGGACGAUCCCAAAUCCCUGGGAACGAUCCCAAUUCCCCAGGAUGAUCCUAAAUCCUGAGGAACGAUCCCAAAUCCCCCCAGGAACGAUCCCAAAUCCC
rnacentral:lncRNA from 1 species